rnacentral:rRNA from 1 species
UACGUAGGGAGCAAGCGUUGUUCGGAUUUACUGGGCGUAAAGGGCGCGUAGGCGGCAGAUCAAGUCAGCUGUGAAAUCUCCGAGCUUAACUCGGAACUGUCAGCUGAUACUGUUUUGCUAGAGUGCGGAAGGGGCAAUCGGAAUUCUUGGUGUAGCGGUGAAAUGCGUAGAUAUCAAGAGGAACACCUGAGGUGAAGACGGGAUCCUGGGCCAGUACUGACGCUGAGGAGCGAAAGUGUGGGGAGCGAACAGG